UGCCUUAGUAACGGCGAGUGAAGCGGCAAUAGCUCAAAUUUGAAAGCUGGCCCCUUUGGGGUCCGCGUUGUAAUUUGUAGAGGAUGAUUCGGCGAGGGCUCCCGUCUAAGUCCCCUGGAACGGGGCGUCAUAGAGGGUGAGAAUCCCGUAUGUGAUGGGUUGCCUUAGCCAUGUGAAUCUCCUUCGACGAGUCGAGUUGUUUGGGAAUGCAGCUCUAAAUGGGAGGUAAAUUUCUUCUAAAGCUAAAUACCGGCCAGAGACCGAUAGCGCACAAGUAGAGUGAUCGAAAGAUGAAAAGCACUUUGGAAAGAGAGUUAAAAAGUACGUGAAAUUGUUGAAAGGGAAGCGCUUGCAGCCAGACUUGUCCGCAGUUGCUCAGCCGGUCUCCUGACCGGCGUACUCUUCUGCGGCCAGGCCAGCAUCAGUUCGGGCGGUCGGAUAAAGACCUCGGGAAUGUAGCUCCUCUCGGGGAGUGUUAUAGCCCGGGGUGGAAUGCGGCCAGCCUGGACUGAGGAUCUCGCUUCGGCUAGGAUGCUGGCGUAAUGGCUGUAAGCGGCCCGUCUUGAAACACGGACCAAGGAGUCUAACAUCUAUGCGAGUGUUUGGGUGUCAAACCCAUACGCGUAAUGAAAGUGAACGGAGGUGGGAACCCUCACGGGUGCACCAUCGACCGAUCCUGAUGUCUUCGGAUGGAUUUGAGUAUGAGCAUAGCUGUUGGGACCCGAAAGAUGGUGAACUAUGCCUGAAUAGGGUGAAGCCAGAGGAAACUCUGGUGGAGGCUCGCAGCGGUUCUGACGUGCAAAUCGAUCGUCAAAUUUGGGUAUAGGGGCGAAAGACUAAUCGAACCAU
rnacentral:rRNA from 1 species